AUUGAACGCUGGCGGCAGGCCUAACACAUGCAAGUCGAACGGUAACAGGAAGCAGCUUGCUGCUUUGCUGACGAGUGGCGGACGGGUGAGUAAUGUCUGGGAAACUGCCUGAUGGAGGGGGAUAACUACUGGAAACGGUAGCUAAUACCGCAUAACGUCGCAAGACCAAAGAGGGGGACCUUAGGGCCUCUUGCCAUCGGAUGUGCCCAGAUGGGAUUAGCUAGUAGGUGGGGUAACGGCUCACCUAGGCGACGAUCCCUAGCUGGUCUGAGAGGAUGACCAGCCACACUGGAACUGAGACACGGUCCAGACUCCUACGGGAGGCAGCAGUGGGGAAUAUUGCACAAUGGGCGCAAGCCUGAUGCAGCCAUGCCACGUGUAUGAAGAAGGCCUUCGGGUUGUAAAGUACUUUCAGCGGGGAGGAAGGGAGUAAAGUUAAUACCUUUGCUCAUUGACGUUACCCGCAGAAGAAGCACCGGCUAACUCCGUG
rnacentral:rRNA from 1 species